GAGAGUAAUGGGGAAAAGCUGCAGUAAGAGAAAACUCGACUCAGAAAAUUGUAGGCCCCUGCCGUUAUUGAAGUUGCCUGUCCCUGCUUUCGAUGAUUACUGCUCAAUGCCCAUUCAAUCACUAACAUGCAAAGUGUCUUCACCCUUGGAAAUUUUGGGUUUGUGGACAAAGAGCCCCCCCCCCCACCAAAAAAACUUACAAAUUCUAAAUGCGUUUCAAUAGCCUUAAUUGGAAGGUGAAGAUGAAUGAACGCCAUCAUGUCAAAGCGUCAUCAACAAACCGUCUAAGGUCUGUUUGUCUCUGACUGUAGUGGGCUCCUCAAUAAUAUCUGCAUUGUUGUCCCUUUUCACUGCCUUGAGGAACGCUUUCAUAACUGAGAAGAACAAAGUUUGGUCUUCAAUGGGAACCAAAAAGCUGAAGGAUAUGGCAAACAAGACUCCCUUGGUUCUUCUCCCGCUCUCUAAAAAGUUCUCCCACCAUGCAAGCCAAGCAAAGCCAUUUUCAGGCGCUUCAAUAGCAGGAAGUGGGCACCGUCUCACCAGUCUCCGGAAAGAGUCUUCAGUUUCCUGCUCAGCUAAGUGAAGGUCGCCACUUGUUCUCCAAGAAAAUGUCCAAUUUACUUGUGAAGGCGUUGAAGCAAGCAGCGAAGCGUGAAACAUCCUGGCUAUCCAGGGUGUGCCACCGCCUGCCACCCAAAGUCAGCAGAGAACGGAUUUAUAUUUUGGGAAAAAAGCGCUUCAAUACCUGGCCCACUCCCUGGAAUAUAUUUGUAUUCCUUCCUUCUUUUCUAUUGUUUCCUUACUGAUGAUGGACAGAUACAGACCACAGACCACAGAAGUCU